rnacentral:rRNA from 1 species
UACGGGGGGGGCAAGCGUUGUUCGGAAUUACUGGGCGUAAAGGGUUCGUAGGUGGCUUGCUAAGUCAGACGUGAAAUCCCUCAGCUUAACUGGGGAACUGCGUCUGAGACUGGCAAGCUUGAGUGCAGGAGAGGAACGCGGAAUUCCAGGUGUAGCGGUGAAAUGCGUAGAUAUCUGGAGGAACACCGGUGGCGAAGGCGGCAUCCUGGACCGACACUGACACUGAGGAGCGAAAGCCAGGGGAGCAAACGGG